UACGUAGGGUGCGAGCGUUAAUCGGAAUUACUGGGCGUAAAGCGUGCGCAGGCGGUCUGUUAAGACAGGUGUGAAAUCCCCGGGCUUAACCUGGGAAUUGCGCUUGUUACUGGCAGGCUAGAGUGUGUCAGAGGGAGGUGGAAUUCCACGUGUAGCAGUGAAAUGCGUAGAGAUGUGGAGGAACACCGAUGGCGAAGGCAGCCUCCUGGGAUAACACUGACGCUGAGGCACGAAAGCGUGGGGAGCAAACAGG
rnacentral:rRNA from 1 species